UACGAAGGGGGCUAGCGUUGCUCGGAAUCACUGGGCGUAAAGCGCACGUAGGCGGCUUUCUAAGUCAGGGGUGAAAUCCUGGAGCUCAACUCCAGAACUGCCUUUGAUACUGGAGAGCUUGAGUCCGGGAGAGGUGAGUGGAACUCCGAGUGUAGAGGUGAAAUUCGUAGAUAUCGAGAGGAACACCGGUGGCGAAGGCGGCUAUCUGGACAGAAACUGACGCUGAGACGCGAAAGCGUGGGGAGCAAACAGG
rnacentral:rRNA from 1 species